rnacentral:rRNA from 1 species
GAUAAACGCUGGCGGCGUGCUUUACCAAUGCGAGUCGGACGCGGCGGCCUUCGGGCCGCCGAGUGGCGGCAGGGUGCGUAACACGUGGGUGACCUGACCCGGCGUGGGGGACACCCGCCCGAAAGGGCGGCUAAUACCGCAUGCGCUCGCCCCCCGUGGGGGGCGCGGAAAGCCCCGUCCCCGUGAGGGGAGGGGGCGCGCCGGGAGGGGCCCGCGGCCUAUCAGCUGGUCGGUGGGGUAACGGCCUACCGAGGCGGUGACGGGUAGCCGGUCUGAGAGGACGAACGGCCACACUGGGACUGGGACAUGGUCCAGAGCCCUACGGGGUUUAGCAUGGAGGAAUCUUGCGCAACGGGGGCAACCCCGGCGCAGCAACGCCGCGUGGGGGAGGAAGGCCCUCGGGUCGUAAACCCCUGUUGCUCGGGAAGAAGUACCCGCCGGUCGCGCCGGGGGGGAAGACGGUACCGGGCGAGGAAGCCCCGGCUAACUACGUGCCAGCCGCCGCUGUAACAC